GGCCGCCCGUAGUUCAGCUGGAUAGAGCGUCGCCCUCCGGAGGCGAAGGUCAGGGGUUCGAGCCGGAGGCGCGCAGCGCCG
rnacentral:tRNA from 1 species